UACAGAGGGUGCGAGCGUUAAUCGGAUUUACUGGGCGUAAAGGGCGCGUAGGCGGUGAGAUGAGUGUGAUGUGAAAGCCCCGGGCUUAACCUGGGAAGUGCAUUGCAAACGAUCUGACUGGAGUAGAUGAGAGGGUGGCGGAAUUUCCGGUGUAGCGGUGAAAUGCGUAGAGAUCGGAAGGAACGUCGAUGGCGAAGGCGGCAUCCUGGACCGACACUGACGCUGAGGAGCGAAAGCCAGGGGAGCAAACGGG
rnacentral:rRNA from 1 species